CCGGGCCAUGCGGACGCCCGAUCAGUCGCCCUGGGCGUCCAAGCUCCGC
rnacentral:ncRNA from 1 species